rnacentral:lncRNA from 1 species
GCGCUAAGCCAUGGGCGGCGGACUAGGGCGCGGCGUCUGGUCCCUCGAUGGUCUGUGCUGUGCGGGUUGCGGAGAUCCAGGGUGGUCAGCCACGGACGGUGGACUAGGGCGCGGCGUCUGGUCCCUCGAUGGUCUGUGCUGUGCGGGUUGCGGAGAUCCAGGGUGGUCAGCCACGGACGGUGGGCUAGGGCGCGAUCGUUUGCGUCUCCCUGCUCCGUACAUCACCAAAAAGCGUUUUUUAGGCGGCAGGCAUCGUAGGGAACCCACUAAAAUGGGGUCAGUCAGCGUCAGAAGUUCGUCGGUAGAUCUAGGGCGUUUUGGGGUAUCUGUACUGUCAAUGGGAGAAGCCGGUCGUUUUAAUGAGGGGAGGGGGUCAGGGAGGAACACACUAUCGUCUAAGCUCUCUUGGGGGUCAGGGAGGAACACACUAUCGUCUAAGCUCUCUUCUACUUGUGAUAUUAACAAACAUGUAGUGGUACCGGAAAGUAAACUACUGUCAUUGAAAAAAUUGUCAUUGUCGUAA